rnacentral:rRNA from 1 species
GACGAACGCUGGCGGCGUGCUUAACACAUGCAAGUCGAACGGAAAGGCCCUGCUUUUGUGGGGUGCUCGAGUGGCGAACGGGUGAGUAACACGUGAGUAACCUGCCCUUGACUUUGGGAUAACUUCAGGAAACUGGGGCUAAUACCGGAUAGGAGCUCCUGCUGCAUGGUGGGGGUUGGAAAGUUUCGGCGGUUGGGGAUGGACUCGCGGCUUAUCAGCUUGUUGGUGGGGUAGUGGCUUACCAAGGCUUUGACGGGUAGCCGGCCUGAGAGGGUGACCGGCCACAGUGGGACUGAGAGACGGCCCAGACGCCUACGGGAGGCAGCAGUGGGGAAGAUGGCACGACGGGCGGAAGCCUGAUGCAGCAACGCCGCGUGCGGGAUGACGGGGUUCGGGUUGUAAAACGCUUUCGCCUGUGACGAAGCGUGCGUGACGGUAAUGUGUAAAGAAGGACCGGCUAACUACGUG